UCAAACAAUUGCAUUAUAUUUACACAUUAUAAAUUGAUCAAAUCUCACUCUAUUUAUAAAAUAAAAUAAAAAAAUAUAACUAAGAUUCUCAAAUUUGUUUAUGCUAUAGUUUUAUCUUUUUCUAUAUUUCUUCUUUCAACAGAGGCAUGUGAAACAGAUGUAGAUUGUUCAUUCCUGCUGUUUAACCGUAAGAACCAUAAGAACCUGCAAGUUAUUUAUUUGUGCGUUAGCAAAUUCUGUGUAAUUCUUCCAAAGUUUCCUGAACAACCAUAGUUUCGAGGAAGAUGUCAAUAGAUGGAUAUCUCUAUCCUUUAGUGCUCUCCCACUUGUCUUGUUUAGUAGUAGAAGAUUAUGAGCUUUGUAUACUACUUUUACACAUGAAUUCUUUCCAAUAGCUUGACAUUUAAAAGAAUAUGCUUGAAAGUUGAUUAGAUAAAAUAAUAUUUAAGUGAUCAUCAUCAUACAUUUAUUCUUUUGAGUCAUCUCUUAAAGGAAAUUGAUUAUUACUUACUCCAAUGAAGACAAAGUGCUUGGCUGGUUGAUUCGUUGUAAAAUCCGGAUAGGCUGAAUAAAAUUUUAAAUAAAUAUUUAUUUCUCCAGCAAUA